rnacentral:rRNA from 1 species
UGUGAGCUCGAUGAGUAGGGCGGGACACGUGGUAUCCUGUCUGAAUAUGGGGGGACCAUCCUCCAAGGCUAAAUACUCCUGACUGACCGAUAGUGAACCAGUACCGUGAGGGAAAGGCGAAAAGAACCCCGGCGAGGGGAGUGAAAAAGAACCUGAAACCGUGUACGUACAAGCAGUGGGAGCACGCUUCGGCGUGUGACUGCGUACCUUUUGUAUAAUGGGUCAGCGACUUAUAUUCUGUAGCAAGGUUAACCGAAUAGGGGAGCCGAAGGGAAACCGAGUCUUAACUGGGCGUUAAGUUGCAGGGUAUAGACCCGAAACCCGGUGAUCUAGCCAUGGGCAGGUUGAAGGUUGGGUAACACUAACUGGAGGACCGAACCGACUAAUGUUGAAAAAUUAGCGGAUGACUUGUGGCUGGGGGUGAAAGGCCAAUCAAACCGGGAGAUAGCUGGUUCUCCCCGAAAGCUAUUUAGGUAGCGCCUCGUGAAUUCAUCUCCGGGGGUAGAGCACUGUUUCGGCAAGGGGGUCAUCCCGACUUACCAACCCGAUGCAAACUGCGAAUACCGGAGAAUGUUAUCACGGGAGACACACGGCGGGUGCUAACGUCCGUCGUGAAGAGGGAAACAACCCAGACCGCCAGCUAAGGUCCCAAAGUCAUGGUUAAGUGGGAAACGAUGUGGGAAGGCCCAGACAGCCAGGAUGUUGGCUUAGAAGCAGCCAUCAUUUAAAGAAAGCGUAAUAGCUCACUGGUCGAGUCGGCCUGCGCGGAAGAUGUAACGGGGCUAAACCAUGCACCGAAGCUGCGGCAGCGACGCUGAUGCGUUGUUGGGUAGGGGAGCGUUCUGUAAGCCUGCGAAGGUGUGCUGUGAGGCAUGCUGGAGGUAUCAGAAGUGCGAAUGCUGACAUAAGUAACGAUAAAGCGGGUGAAAAGCCCGCUCGCCGGAAGACCAAGGGUUCCUGUCCAACGUUAAUCGGGGCAGGGUGAGUCGACCCCUAAGGCGAGGCCGAAAGGCGUAGUCGAUGGGAAACAGGUUAAUAUUCCUGUACUUGGUGUUACUGCGAAGGGGGGACGGAGAAGGCUAUGUUGGCCGGGCGACGGUUGUCCCGGUUUAAGCGUGUAGGCUGGUUUUCCAGGCAAAUCCGGAAAAUCAAGGCUGAGGCGUGAUGACGAGGCACUACGGUGCUGAAGCAACAAAUGCCCUGCUUCCAGGAAAAGCCUCUAAGCAUCAGGUAACAUCAAAUCGUACCCCAAACCGACACAGGUGGUCAGGUAGAGAAUACCAAGGCGCUUGAGAGAACUCGGGUGAAGGAACUAGGCAAAAUGGUGCCGUAACUUCGGGAGAAGGCACGCUGAUAUGUAGGUGAGGUCCCUCGCGGAUGGAGCUGAAAUCAGUCGAAGAUACCAGCUGGCUGCAACUGUUUAUUAAAAACACAGCACUGUGCAAACACGAAAGUGGACGUAUACGGUGUGACGCCUGCCCGGUGCCGGAAGGUUAAUUGAUGGGGUCAGCGCAAGCGAAGCUCUUGAUCGAAGCCCCGGUAAACGGCGGCCGUAACUAUAACGGUCCUAAGGUAGCGAAAUUCCUUGUCGGGUAAGUUCCGACCUGCACGAAUGGCGUAAUGAUGGCCAGGCUGUCUCCACCCGAGACUCAGUGAAAUUGAACUCGCUGUGAAGAUGCAGUGUACCCGCGGCAAGACGGAAAGACCCCGUGAACCUUUACUAUAGCUUGACACUGAACAUUGAGCCUUGAUGUGUAGGAUAGGUGGGAGGCUUGGAAGUGUGGACGCCAGUCUGCAUGGAGCCGACCUUGAAAUACCACCCUUUAAUGUUUGAUGUUCUAACGUUGACCCGUAAUCCGGGUUGCGGACAGUGUCUGGUGGGUAGUUUGACUGGGGCGGUCUCCUCCUAAAGAGUAACGGAGGAGCACGAAGGUUGGCUAAUCCUGGUCGGACAUCAGGAGGUUAGUGCAAUGGCAUAAGCCAGCUUGACUGCGAGCGUGACGGCGCGAGCAGGUGCGAAAGCAGGUCAUAGUGAUCCGGUGGUUCUGAAUGGAAGGGCCAUCGCUCAACGGAUAAAAGGUACUCCGGGGAUAACAGGCUGAUACCGCCCAAGAGUUCAUAUCGACGGCGGUGUUUGGCACCUCGAUGUCGGCUCAUCACAUCCUGGGGCUGAAGUAGGUCCCAAGGGUAUGGCUGUUCGCCAUUUAAAGUGGUACGCGAGCUGGGUUUAGAACGUCGUGAGACAGUUCGGUCCCUAUCUGCCGUGGGCGCUGGAGAACUGAGGGGGGCUGCUCCUAGUACGAGAGGACCGGAGUGGACGCAUCACUGGUGUUCGGGUUGUCAUGCCAAUGGCACUGCCCGGUAGCUAAAUGCGGAAGAGAUAAGUGCUGAAAGCAUCUAAGCACGAAACUUGCCCCGAGAUGAGUUCUCCCUGACCCUUUAAGGGUCCUGAAGGAACGUUGAAGACGACGACGUUGAUAGGCCGGGUGUGUAAGCGCAGCGAUGCGUUGAGCUAACCGGUACUAAUGAACCGUGAGGCUUAACCUU